ACCAGAAAUCUUUUUCCUCUCGUUUUUCUCAAAUAUUCCUCUAGAACUGACAAUUUUAGUUCGUCUUGUACAUAUGUACCAGGAUUAAAUUAAAGGAUAAACGGUUUUAGUGAGUUGUGUUGGGAAUACGCGUAUUAAAACCUUAUAAAAGGUCAACCAUCUCCAGACACAGCUAGUGGAUUGUAUCAUUUAUCAUAAAGUGACCCCAGCUGUUUUUAUAGGAAGUGAAAUCAGAGGACGGGAAAUGAAACUUACGUGUACCUCAUCUUGUGAAACUGACACGAGAUUCACGUGAGCCGUCGCAUGCUUUGUGAAACACCGCAUCAAUUACCUCGACCUUAUUUCCCUUUCUUUGGUGACAAUUGUUCAUGUUAAAAGUCAAUGCUGACUCCUAAAAUUCUGUUUUACAACAAACUGUAAACUAAGGCCUCAAUAAGUCUAUCAUUCAUUUACAAAGACUGAUAACCACUAGGUCAUGUUUCAGGCACUAGCACGAUAAAGAACCCUCAUUAUGACCACCAUCAAAAUUCUAAACUUGAGUGAAUGCAUGUAGUGACGUUUCUAUAUAUGUGAAAGGACUUCGACCGGAGUUGCAGAGUCAUGUUGCCAGGCAAAGUAUCUAUGGAGACAGCUAUCUACAGAGACAUUAUCAAUAGAGCCAUGUUUUCAGCAGCGUCAUGAUCAUGUCUUUGGGGGUCAUCCUAAUGACCGAAAAGUUACCUUCGGUGGAGUAAAUACCCGGUCAGGCAGCUGGGGAUCCGACAGAAAUAAAGAUACAAUGCAGUAAAUAUUUAUAUAACAUCCUGUUCCUUACUGUAGUGCAAAAAUGUUUUGUAAAAUUAAAUAACGUUCGACGAAUAUUUUUUCAAUGUUUGUGAAGUUUGAUAAACCGAUAAUUUGGGUCUAAUUUACAUAAUCUUAAUUAAAUUUUAAUGUUAUUUCGUAAACUCAAUUACCACCGAACAGUCAUUUGAAAAGAUGGCUAUUUGCGGGAUUUUUAAACAAAUCUUUUAAUUUGUUUGGCUCUUCAAGUUUAAAAAGUAUCGUUGACAUUUUUUCAAUCUGAAAAUUUGCAUACAUGUUUAUCAUUCACUGCUAAAUAUAUUUUGUCGUUGCUGUAUAGUUUUAUAUAUCUCGAGAUCGUUGCUAGCAUAAUUAGCCAUAAGAAAAUGAAACAUUGCUUUUUAAAAACAAUCCUUCAGUAAUAUAUUAGCAGAUUGUAGAUACUUCAAAGUAUAUUGUUUGUGACUGCUGGUAAUAAAUGCUCAUAAAGAUAACCAUCUAGGUAAAAUUUGAAAUAUCAAUAACGAAUUCUAAAAAGACGGGGUUGGUGUACAUGUAUCAACCGAGUGGUGUGAUGUAACACAAUCAGAUUCAGAGUUCUGCUGAGCGGAAGUGUAAAGAGGCAGAUAGUGGCAAGGCCUGUCUGACAAACCCUGUUGACCUGCUGAAGAUUGAAUAUUUUUGAUAUAAGAAUAUUGAACAUAUGUCAGUUAUGAUAUAUUCAUGAUUAUCAUUUGGAAUAUACUUUACACACAGUCCUAGACUGGGUGGUUUGCUCUGAUAUAACUUGAACUUACGGCACCCUUAGAAAAAAUGUCCUGUUAAAAUCCAGUUGCUGAUAUCGUUAUACAGUUUAUGAAAUUAAAACUAAACAAAAUUAUCAUUGCACAAAAUAGUUUUUGCACUGACUUCAAUUGAUUGGAAUUAUCGCUUUAAAAUCAACUUGUUUAGAUUACCGUAUAAUGUAUGUUGCAAAGAUAUGAUAACCCCAGAGAGGGCAGAGCAUUUGUUUCUGUUAAAUCUCAGAUUGCUCACAUGAGCAUCCUUGAACUUACGUCUUUUAACCAGUCAGACCAGUGACCUUUAUAUCAGGUUAAAGGCUUGGUCACUGCUAAAUAAUGGUAAAUUAUAUAUUUUGACCUGGAAUAAAUGCGCACUUUUCAACUUAAACUUAUAUAAUUGUAAAUUAUAGUUAUGCCCAAAAAUUAACAGUAAAUACGUUAUAUUAACAUACUUUAAACAGUCGAUAAUUAUUUAUGUCUUAAACUAGUCAAACUAAUUAACAUAUACUUUUUCGUGUGUCAAUCUAAAACCCCAAAUACGUAGGAAUCGUCUUAGAAGCAGCAAAUAUAGGACCGAGACCUAAACCAGUUGUUUUCAUACAAUGAUGAUAAUUCAACGUGUUCUCAGAUCUGACAAAACCAAUAUCACUUUUUUACCAAUGUUACUGACAUCUCCUAUAUAGGUGAACAUUUUGAGUUGGGUAAAUUUUCAAAAACAUAAAUAUGACUUUAUGUUUAACGGAAGAAAAAGAAAAGAGGUCUGUGAUAUUGUGUUUGUCGCGAACAUUAUUCAUCAAGUUUAUAUUAUAUAAAAAAUGUCCUCGGUAGAUACCAAACAAUUAGGGUUCGAAGUGAAACCAAGCCCUAUCAAACAUAAAACGGAACGUCGUGUCUGGUGAUAUAUCAAAGAUACACAAGUGGUCGUCUUAACCAUGAAAGAGGAUAAAUGAUAAAUAAGUCCUCAAUCUAACGCUGAUCUUUGCGGGUUGCAUGUGUGAACCUAAUUUACCCCUGUGUACAUAUGUACUUACUAAGUCUAGCACAUUGACCAAGUGGACUUGAAUCCAGAUCUUAUAAACGUUCAUUAAAUUCUAUAAAACAAAUCUGAAUAAAGGUAAAUAAAAUAAUAAUGUAAAUCUGUAGAAAAAAGUUACAUAAUACCAUAAAACUUGUGACAUUCAUUACAGGUGAACUCGUCACAAUAAAUUUGUUAUUUGUAGCAUCAAAUAAAUACCUGCGUUUAAAUUUACAUACAACUUGUUAAUAUGUAACACACUGCCAUAUCCUAUCAGCUGUCAAAAGAAUCGGGUCCCUUGAAUUCCUUAUCAAUUGAACAUAUGUUUUCUUUCUCAGAAUAAACCAGAUAUUUCUCUCAGAUUGCAAUUUAUAAGACACACACUUAAAAACAAACACUUGGAAUUUUUUUUAAAAAGAACGACAAAACCAAAUCUUUUUUAAAGAAGAGGGAAAAGCAUGCGUUUGGUUUUUAAAUAUUUUCUUCCGCCGCUAUUGUUAACUAUAGACGACUUUUUAAUCAUUGAAUUUAAAGAUUUAAUGGAACAAAGAGAUACUUAACGAUGGGGCGUGAUUAUUCACACGAAAGCAAAACUCUGCAGCAUAUAUACAGAUGAUCGCUAUGUCAAAUCAAAAGAUUCAAGAUAAAAUGAUGUACUUUAUAAAGAUAAAGUUUAUAAAAACUAUAUCGUCCCUUUUACGAAUUGUAAGUCUACUUCAAUUAAGCGGCAAAGUCAGAUUCAACAUUUGCAUCGUUAUAGUAAAAUGUAGUCUUCCUUUGUCAACUCUACAUGAUUUGCACAUUUUCAAGUGGUCGAUACGAUGGUUCGUGUGCAAUGAUCUUCCUGCGUACCUGGGAAGCUGCACCGAUUCACAUCUGUCUUUAUUGCAAAGACACAAUUACUCAAACAUCAGUAUGUGGGACAGGUUAGCAAUGUAUUAUAUAACCCAUUGUUAUAAAUUUUACAGUACAUUUAACCCUAAACAGUGCGCUUUCUAUUUAUAAAGGUAUUGAUUGCCAUCGUAUUACCUGAAAUAAGAUUUUUAUUGAAUCGUCUGGAACAUUUAUACAUCUGCAUUAUACGACACAAUGAUAUAAUUUUUACAUGAACUACGGAUGUAUAUAAAUUAUCUAUCACAAGAUCAUAUAUCACUCGUAAACAGAAUUCGAGAUGAUUUAAGGACGUUGGAUCCUGCGAUCAAAAGUCUUUAAGUUUUUUUCUAGAGAUUUUUUUUAACAUCUACACACUUAGCUAAACCAAAAUUCAAAACAAAAUUUUGGGGUCUAUAUGCCCGUUUCGGUGCUACGGUGUAUUUAAUAUGACCUUUCUGCACUCAAAGUGCAACUUCCACAUAAAUCGCUUUUCCCUCUAUAAUUUUUUUUAUCAAAAUGAACCAUGGUAUCAAAUAAAAAUUAACAUUCUUAACAUAAAAUUAAAAGUAUCAUAACGAAAAAGUUUGCAAUUUUUCACAUCAUUAAUAUUUUGACCUUUAUGCACUGAAAAAAAAAUAAUCUUAUUUAUAAAUAAUUCAACAUGCAAUGAAAUUAUUUAAAAGUCUCAAACUUUUUCUCAAAUUAUGACAUACUUGUCAAAAGAAACUUUAAAAUUUCAGAUAUAAUAAAACCAAAAGUAUGGGUCUACAUUGUUAAUUAUAAGAGAUUGCUAUGUCGAUAGAAAUAUUGAAAUAUUGUUAAAAUAUGUUUUUUGAACUAUCUGGAAAUUUGGUCUGCACUGAAAAUUACGGUACUCUAAAACAACUGAGUUAUGAAAAAUGUUCAAUGUCUUAAAAACCUUCCGCCACAAAAUUUAGUCCCUUACUAAACUCUGUAAAUAUGUAAUUUUUCCUUAACUAUUUCAUUCAAUAUAGUUCAUUUGGCAUUGUAAAAAAAAGAAUUUACAAGUAGAGUUCAUAUAUGACACAAAAUUUCCAGACUAGAGGUGACCCAAAAUGGCUACCCAAAAUCAGAGGAAGAAACCUCUUUAAAUGAUUUUUUUAAACAGAAAAACAAAGGAUAAGCACUGGAAUUAAAAAUUGCAUUACCACCAAUUCAAUUUAUGGACCCUCUCCAUGGCCCAUGGUACUACAGUUGGCUGUGUAUUCUAUUUAGAGCGUUUGGCGGAAUGCAGCUUCCGCUAAAUCAAGUUCGUCGCUUAAUGAAUAAUAAUAUCAUAAUUAAGCAUUACUGCUGCAGAGUUUUUUCACUUUGAAUUAAUUUAUUUCUUUGAUGUGUUCAUUGCCCAAUCCAAUCCAUGCAAUAGAAAUAAACAACGGAAACAGAUUUUAAUGUCAUCCUCUAAAUUGUUUGGGAUUGUCUGCUAUGAACUAUAUACUUAUAAUCAAGUGUCUGAUUUUCGUGUCCACUCUUGGUUCUUUCAACUUAUCAUUUGAAUUACACGAUGGGUUGAGAAAGACAUCGUCAUAAAACAAAUUAUAUUAACAGGUGCCCCGCUUUUUAAUCAUUUCUAUCAUAUAUUUUUUAUUGAAUGGCACACUAUAUAUAAAGAAUUUAUAAUCAAAUUCAAAGAAUGAUGGGACCUUAACAUAAUUUCAGAUCAAAGUUUUAUUUUUUCUGUAAAUAGUUUGGAUGUGCAAUUUGAAUGAUUGUCCCAAUUUUAAAUGUUAGAAGUCAAGUUAUAAAACAGAUGCAGAGGUAAGAAUUUAUUGUUAUGUAAACAAAGCUCGAGUCUUAUAUUUGUUUACAAAUAAUGGAAAGUAAAAAUAUUACCAUUUCUUUGACAAAAUGACUCCUGGCACACAAAGGAUACACUGGCUCACUGUGUUCAUAAAUAAUGUUAUCCACAAUAUAUAGAAGCAACAUUUGAUUUUAAACUUAUACCAAUAAAACACUUAUGUAAAUAAUAACAAGACUCGAUUUUUGUUUACAAAAAAACUAAUUUCAAACUCGUUACGUUGCUUGUAGCUCAAUAUUUGAUUUUCAAAUUUUGACGAGUCUUUUAAAACACCCAUAUUCAUCAAUCUAAACAUUAAAAUAAAUAAAAGAAAUAAAAUUGAUAUUAAAUCGAGUCUAAGUCCUUUUAAUGUAUAUAAAGCAAAUUAAAUGUAAGAUGUCAUUUUUCAAGAUUUCUAAAUACAUGCUUCACUGCAGAAUUACAAGUGCAUUGUACAUUUUGGAGAACAUAUCUACUGGAAUAAAAAAAGAUUUGGACAAAAAUAUUUAAACCAUUACAUUCAUAUGUUUAUCUUAUUAUAUUUUUAUAUUUCAUUUGUUUGUAUAUCAAAUUCUGAAAUUAAAAUUUUCAAAUUAAAUUUCAAACUGAAUGAUACAAUUGUUUUCUUCUCUUUUUUUGGAAACUGAUGACAUUUAUUUCAAAAGUUUUUAAAUUAUAAAAGUGUACUAUUAAACAAAAAAAAAUGAAAGUUGUUUUUGCAAAGGUAGAGUACAGGCCGGAACAGUGACAAUCUUCAUAUAUUCUACGAUGUAUAGACCCAUAUAUGUAUUGCUAAAGCUGCCUCUUCUAAAUCAUUAAAAGAUUUAGAUAUUCUAAGAAGAAAAUGUGUAUUUAUGCAUUUUAUGCAGUAAGUUGUUAUAUAAUUCGACUGUAAUAUCGGUAUUCAGUGAGUUACAGUGUUGGUUGUGCAUAUUUACAACGUAUGUUUUCAUUGCAAAGAGCUUCAAAGGUUUAUAAGUUUUUUAGAAACACUUAAAUAAUAACCCUGCCGACGAUAAAAAAAACUAUACAAUUAAAUUAACUAACGAAAUAUUGCAACUUAUUCAAAGCAAAUAUUUUUUUGACAAUGAACGUAGCCUUUUGGUUACCCGUUUCGGAAGAUAAUUCACUUUAUCCACUUUGUAGGCAAAUUUAUUAAAGACAAUAUAAUUGGGUAAGCAUAUUUUUUCACAUAACAAAUUUUGUUUGCAAUAAUAAUAUUGUGAUUGUUGUUCUAAAUAUGCAUUGCUACAACCCUUAGCAAUUGGCAUGCGUUUCCUUGAUACUGAAAUAUUCUCAUAUUUGUCUGUUUUGGACUGUAGCAUUCUGAUCGGUUCUGCUUUGAUCUGUUAUCAUUUAGGUGUCAAUCGUUCAUUUGAUUUUAAAAGUAUUGGAAAAGUUGAUAGUACUCUUGAUACAGCCCCUUACCUAUGAUAAGCACACAAUUGAAAAAAAAAACAAGAUAUAAUAACAAACUAAACAUGACAAACAAACCCAACUGUUGUGUCAAUAACCAAAUAUAAAUACAAGAGCAGGAAAAGAUAAUUUCUGAAAUCACGAGGUAUUCCCUUUCACGAUAACAGCAUUGUAACUUUUUUUUUUUAAAUAUCGAUAUAAAAAUGUAAUUCAUACCUCCUUAUUAAAUUUCGUUGUAAUUCGGCAUCGAUUUUUUAUUUCGUGCUUUUUGUAUUGUCAUUUUUAGCUGAACAUCUAAUUAUAGAAAAAUAAUUUUUAAAGUAUUGAAACCUAUAUAGUGAUCAGUUCACAUGAUACAUAUUUUCUAGCUGAUUGAAAUCUAAAAGAAACCACAAUAGAAAUUUGAAGGAAAAAAACCCAGAUAAAACAGCUCGAUUGUGACUCGAGAAAUGGAUUUGAGUAAUAUAUAGGAGUGAUUAAUUAGAGGCAACAGGUGUCUGUGUAACGGUGUUAAAGACCACGCCCUAUCUACUCAGAUUAGCUGUGACACUCAGCUUCUAGUCAGACGCUACCAGUAGUUAUUGGGCAGUGAGUAAGUCAAAGUGGGGAAAAUCCGAUCAUCGAUGAUACACAAUAAACCGCCAACAACACUGUACAACAAUCAAAUACUUCAAUCAUUAGUCACAUGUACGGGAGUUUGACAAAGACAGGUAGAUGCAGAGGCUGGAUUUUGUCGGGUAUUUCCGCGCCAGAAGUUCCCGCCCGACAGACGAUUAAUCGCAGACGUCAUUGCACACUCGUAGCAGUAUUGAUUGAUUUCUGUCUCGUUCUCAAUCACAAAUUAAUAAAUUUAGCGCCCGAUUCUGUUUACAAGCUUAUAUCUGCGUUGCAAUUGCACGCAUGUGUUUGCUUCACAAUUAUUCAAUACACACUAUUAAGAUAGACAAGCGACCCUUCAUUU